AGGUGAUUUUUGUUGUUGUUAUUGUUGUGGCUGGCGGCGAGAAGGCUCUCAAUUACGCUAGGUAUCUCAUAGACAGAAUGAGCCUGGUUUUUACGCCAAGCUGAUGUUUUCAGCAGCAGUCCGCUGCGGAGAAAAUUCAAGCAGUCUUAGGGGCCUGAAGUGUUCGCUGCUUCUCACCGGAUCGACAAUGGGAAAGAAGGGUGGCAGCGUGCAGUACCUUGUGAAAUGGAGAGACUUUAUCCUUUACGAACUUGGGAGUAUCAAGAAGAUAUCAGUGACGAUCUAUCAGGUGAUUUCAUUUCAUUCUGGGUGAAUUUAUUGAAUGUAUUCUUGCAUGAAUUUGAAAAUCUCCCUUUUGUUUGCUGUAGAUCUUUUGAUGGUUCGGGUAAUGUUGGGCCCUUUCUCAGAUGACGAAUGUUUGAGGCUGCUGAUGAGCUUGCACUGCUGUGCAGUGAAAAAAUAGAAGUGAAAUAGUCUAUUUCUGACUUUCGAAUCAGAAACUGGACAAAGGGGGUUGGGACCGAAGAAUUUCCCUGUGAAGUUCUUUCCUCCAGGUUGGGAUGCUUGCAUGAACGUACAUGGACAAAGCCCACGGGCUCACCACCUGGUUACCAUCAAGCCUACGAUUCGCCGUAGUCUAUGUACGUUCCUGCAGGACUCCUCUGGAUCUAUGACAGGAGGGGAUCGUGCUGCCCGGCAGUUUGUCUCUUCCACAGAAAAGGGCAUUGAUUAAUCAUGAGCUUACCGCAGAGCACAACGAAAGCAUUGUAGCAUGAAACUAAUUUGUCUGAAUACAAAUCUGCACAAUGGCACAGAUGGCUAAAUAGUAAUGGAGAUAAAGCAUAGCAUCAUCAGCAUUGUAUUCCUGGAAGCAGUGCAAGUUAUAGAUUUAGGUAUCAAUAUGUAUCUAAGCUUUAGCGAAGUCCGGACGCAGUACAUUACUAGUGUGAAAGAUAGAAGAAAAAGCAAUGAUAUCCAUAUAUACCCGGAAAGAGAGGCCCAGUGAGAGUGGGUGGGAGUAAGUGAAAGCACUUGUACAAGCUAAACAUCCGUGCAACCGGAAAGAGCAGAGAAAAGGCUAAAGCAAAUACACAGGCCAUGUGUACGAGGUAAUUUAGCAGUGAGACCCAAACAUUCUUGUAAACCAGAAUGCAGUUUCAGCACACAUUUUCUAUUUCUUCAUGUUGCGCUGCUGUUGCCGUUUCCCAACGAUAUGAUGAGGCUCUCCGUUAUUCUUCUGCUGGUUUUCCUGUGCAGGUAUGUGCUGCCGUAGCUCAGAGAAAUCUUUGGCCAGGGUAGCCAAGAUGGCAUCACCCACAUCCUCCUCUCCUUCAGGUUCACUUGUAGGUUUGGCAUUCAUGCUUGACAUCUCCUUCAGUGCUGUGUAGGUCUUCUCCAAUUUGUUUUUGUCUGCCCAUACCAUUUGCACUGCUCAGUGAUGUCGGCGACAGUCGCCUUCAGCUCACCAUUUUCCAUUUUUUCUUUACUUUUUGGCUACGCUGUGUGUCCUUGAGGUAGCAUUUGAGGCUGACCAGUUCUUCUACCUUUGGUUUGCAAACAUUCUUGUCUAGUGUUCAGUGAUCGAACCCAGUCAACGUUGAAGCACCCUUGUUAUUUCUUUCCGUUUCUUUUUAUUCUUGUACGCCGCUGCCUGCAACCGUGCAUUUUAAUAGGUUUGCGAGAAUCUCUUUUCACCUGCAGCAACCAGAGUUUGAAAGUAUGGACACAAACUGGAAGUAUGACCAGUUUUCAGACAACUAGCUGCUUCAAAAAUUCUUAUGUCAGAUGAGUGACUGGUUGCGCAGCCGACAUUAUGGUGACAUAAUGUGUCCUUGUAGUUCUGUUUAUUAUUACUUGUAUAUUUCACUGUUCGCGUCAAACUCGGCUUAAGGCCGAGUUUUCCGCAUCCGUAGGAACGCCACCACCCUUCAAGGAUCGUGCGUUUAUUAUAACAGUGUAUUUUGUUAUUUGUUUUGACCAUCAGUCCUUGGCUGAUGCUGGUCAAAUCGUCAACAUGUUGACGCGUUUUUCAAGGCAUUCAAUAUACGUAGUCCGCAUGAUUCUAUCUUUUCAUAACGAAUACCGAUGGCUAGUGCUUCCCCACUAGCUGCGCAAGUGUCA